CCAAAUGACGCAACAAUACAGCUCCAGACCAGAGAAAGUUAAUGCCGAAGAAAUCAUUCGGUUCAACACUAAAACUGAGGUUUGACACGUGUGAUUUGAGGUUAGAGCUUGAGGACUCAACUCUGAAGACUGUUUCUGAAUUCACUGACCUGGUGAGUAAAUUUUGUGUACAAUGGCACCAUCUACUGACAGAAACAUAGAAACACACAUUGUUGCUGAACGAAGGCAUCUCUUUAUUUUCCAGAAAUAAAACUUGUAGACCUUUCCUGCAGGCUCUGAGGAGAUGGACACCUCUUCUUCUUCUGGACGAUCUCCCUCUCCUACUGGGACUGUCUUCUUACCCCCUCCUAUCAUGUGGAACAGUCUGUAAGUCAUUCAUCACAUAACCUAGCUCUGGUACAGGCCAUUAUGUGCGGCUUGCUGAAGGACGGCUCAGUGUCUGCAAGCUGUACGUAACGCCCUGGACCAGAGUGACACAUGACACACCUCUGGCCAUCAUGGAUAGUCAACUCAUCACAUUCACGUAUUGUAAGUCACAGUUGUGUGAUUUGUGUUAUUAAAGACAGUUAAAUUGAGCAGAAGUUGAAUUGUUAUUUUACUAUUGUAGUAAAUUGUCUGAGUUCACUUCCUAAAUAAUGUGUUGAUAUUCCUUUGCUC
rnacentral:lncRNA from 1 species